rnacentral:rRNA from 1 species
UACGUAGGGCGCAAGCGUUUGUCCGGAAUUAUUGGGCGUAAAGAGCUCGUAGGCGGUUUGUCGCGUCUGCUGUGAAAACCUAAGGCUCAACCUUGGGCUUGCAGUGGGUACGGGCAGACUAGAGUGCGGUAGGGGUGACUGGAAUUCCUGGUGUAGCGGUGAAAUGCGCAGAUAUCAGGAGGAACACCGAUGGCGAAGGCAGGUCUCUGGGCAUUAACUGACGCUGGAGGAGCGAAAAGCGUGGGGAGCGAACAGG